GACGAACGCUGGCGGCGUGCUUAACACAUGCAAGUCGAACGGAAAGGCCCUGCUUUUGUGGGGUGCUCGAGUGGCGAACGGGUGAGUAACACGUGAGUAACCUGCCCUUGACUUUGGGAUAACUUCAGGAAACUGGGGCUAAUACCGGAUAGGAGCUCCUGCUGCAUGGUGGGGGUUGGAAAGUUUCGGCGGUUGGGGAUUGACUCGCGGCUUAUCAGCUUGUUGGUGGGGUAGUGGCUUACCAGGGCUUUGACGGGUAGCCGGCCUGAGAGGGUGACCGGCCACAUUGGGACUGAGAUACGGCCCAGACUCCUACGGGAGGCAGCAGUGGGGAAUAUUGCACAAUGGGCGGAAGCCUGAUGCAGCAACGCCGCGUGCGGGAUGACGGCCUUCGGGUUGUAAACCGCUUUCGCCUGUGACGAAGCGUGAGUGACGGUAAUGGGUAAAGAAGCACCGGCUAACUACGUG
rnacentral:rRNA from 1 species